AGAGGAAGGGAGCAAGGGCGAUGGGGCUGGCCUGGCUCUGGUGCUCGCGGCGUCACACGGGCCUCCGGUGGAGGCGGGGUGUCGGGCGCAGGCAGAUGCCCCGAUCCGCUCCGGAUCGAGCGCUCGUGCAGCAGGGUUGGAUCGGCAGCGGAGAUACCGAGGUUGGGGAUUGCGGCGGCACGACUUGGGAUUGGGGGAUAGG
rnacentral:lncRNA from 1 species